rnacentral:rRNA from 1 species
UACGGGGGGAGCAAGCGUUGUUCGGAAUCACUGGGCGUAAAGGGCGCGUAGGCGGUUCGUACAGUCAGACGUGAAAUUCCUGGGCUCAACCUGGGGGCUGCGUUUGAUACGUGCGGACUUGAGUGCGGAAGAGGGUCGUGGAAUUCCCAGUGUAGAGGUGAAAUUCGUAGAUAUUGGGAAGAACACCGGUGGCGAAGGCGGCGACCUGGUCCGAUACUGACGCUGAGGCGCGAAAGCGUGGGGAGCAAACAGG